GGACAUGACACCAAAACUAAGAGCCCAAUCAAGCAGGAGAGACCAGCCUCCCCUGUACCCAGCUGUGUGUCCAUGAAGAGUGAUUGGUCAAUGAGACCCCCUUUACACUUUGGAAAGGGAGACUUUUCUACUGAACAAAGCCCAAUCAAGCAGGAGAGACCAGCCUCCCCUGUACCCAGCUGUGUGUCCAUGAAGAGUGACUGGUCUAUGAGACCUCCUUUAUACUUUGGAGAGGGAGACUUUUCUACUGAACAAAGAAACCAACAGCAGAGAUCAGAGUCAGAGUCAGAAAUUCU